UACGUAGGGGGCAAGCGUUGUCCGGAAUCAUUGGGCGUAAAGAGCGUGUAGGCGGCCUGAAAGGUCAGCUGUGAAAACUCGAGGCUCAACCUCGAGACGUCGGUUGAAACCAUCUGGCUAGAGUCCGGAAGAGGAGUGUGGAAUUCCUGGUGUAGCGGUGAAAUGCGCAGAUAUCAGGAAGAACACCCGUGGCUAAGGCGGCUCUCUAGUACGGUACUGACGCUGAGACGCGAAAGCGUGGGGAGCGAACAGG
rnacentral:rRNA from 1 species